rnacentral:rRNA from 1 species
UACGUAGGGGGCGAGCGUUGUCCGGAGUUACUGGGCGUAAAGCGCAUGCAGGCGGUCCUGUAAGUUUGGAGUGACAAUUUCCGGCUCAACUGGGAAAGUGCUUUGAAAACUGCAGGACUUGAGGGCUUCAGAGGGACACGGAAUUCCGGGUGGAGUGGUGAAAUGCGUAGAGAUCGGAAAGAACACCAACGGCGAAAGCACUCUGCUGGGCCGACACUGACACUGAGAGACGAAAGCUAGGGGAGCGAAUGGG